ACUUUAGAGUUUGAAUUCUGGCUCAGAUUGAACGCUGGCGGCAGGCUUAACACAUGCAAGUCGAGCGGAGUGAUGGUGCUUGCACUAUCACUUAGCGGCGGACGGGUGAGUAAUGCUUAGGAAUCUGCCUAUUAGUGGGGGACAACAUCUCGAAAGGGAUGCUAAUACCGCAUACGUCCUACGGGAGAAAGCAGGGGAUCACUUGUGACCUUGCGCUAAUAGAUGAGCCUAAGUCGGAUUAGCUAGUUGGUGGGGUAAAGGCCUACCAAGGCGACGAUCUGUAGCGGGUCUGAGAGGAUGAUCCGCCACACUGGGACUGAGACACGGCCCAGACUCCUACGGGAGGCAGCAGUGGGGAAUAUUGGACAAUGGGGGGAACCCUGAUCCAGCCAUGCCGCGUGUGUGAAGAAGGCCUUAUGGUUGUAAAGCACUUUAAGCGAGGAGGAGGCUCUUUUGGUUAAUACCCAGAAUGAGUGGACGUUACUCGCAGAAUAAGCACCGGCUAACUCUGUGCCAGCAGCCGCGGUAAUACAGAGGGUGCAAGCGUUAAUCGGAUUUACUGGGCGUAAAGCGCGCGUAGGCGGCCAAUUAAGUCAAAUGUGAAAUCCCCGAGCUUAACUUGGGAAUUGCAUUCGAUACUGGUUGGCUAGAGUGUGGGAGAGGAUGGUAGAAUUCCAGGUGUAGCGGUGAAAUGCGUAGAGAUCUGGAGGAAUACCGAUGGCGAAGGCAGCCAUCUGGCCUAACACUGACGCUGAGGUGCGAAAGCAUGGGGAGCAAACAGGAUUAGAUACCCUGGUAGUCCAUGCCGUAAACGAUGUCUACUAGCCGUUGGGGCCUUUGAGGCUUUAGUGGCGCAGCUAACGCGAUAAGUAGACCGCCUGGAGACGCCACC
rnacentral:rRNA from 1 species